ACUUAAAUUGAAGAGUUUGAUCAUGGCUCAGAUUGAACGCUGGCGGCAGGCCUAACACAUGCAAGUCGAACGGUAACAGGAAGCAGCUUGCUGCUUUGCUGACGAGUGGCGGACGGGUGAGUAAUGUCUGGGAAACUGCCUGAUGGAGGGGGAUAACUACUGGAAACGGUAGCUAAUACCGCAUAACGUCGCAAGACCAAAGAGGGGGACCUUCGGGCCUCUUGCCAUCGGAUGUGCCCAGAUGGGAUUAGCUAGUAGGUGGGGUAACGGCUCACCUAGGCGACGAUCCCUAGCUGGUCUGAGAGGAUGACCAGCCACACUGGAACUGAGACACGGUCCAGACUCCUACGGGAGGCAGCAGUGGGGAAUAUUGCACAAUGGGCGCAAGCCUGAUGCAGCCAUGCCGCGUGUAUGAAGAAGGCCUUCGGGUUGUAAAGUACUUUCAGCGGGGAGGAAGGCGAUAAGGUUAAUAACCUUGUCGAUUGACGUUACCCGCAGAAGAAGCACCGGCUAACUCCGUGCCAGCAGCCGCGGUAAUACGGAGGGUGCAAGCGUUAAUCGGAAUUACUGGGCGUAAAGCGCACGCAGGCGGUCUGUCAAGUCGGAUGUGAAAUCCCCGGGCUCAACCUGGGAACUGCAUUCGAAACUGGCAGGCUAGAGUCUUGUAGAGGGGGGUAGAAUUCCAGGUGUAGCGGUGAAAUGCGUAGAGAUCUGGAGGAAUACCGGUGGCGAAGGCGGCCCCCUGGACAAAGACUGACGCUCAGGUGCGAAAGCGUGGGGAGCAAACAGGAUUAGAUACCCUGGUAGUCCACGCCGUAAACGAUGUCGACUUGGAGGUUGUGCCCUUGAGGCGUGGCUUCCGGAGCUAACGCGUUAAGUCGACCGCCUGGGGAGUACGGCCGCAAGGUUAAAACUCAAAUGAAUUGACGGGGGCCCGCACAAGCGGUGGAGCAUGUGGUUUAAUUCGAUGCAACGCGAAGAACCUUACCUACUCUUGACAUCCAGAGAACUUUCCAGAGAUGGAUUGGUGCCUUCGGGAACUCUGAGACAGGUGCUGCAUGGCUGUCGUCAGCUCGUGUUGUGAAAUGUUGGGUUAAGUCCCGCAACGAGCGCAACCCUUAUCCUUUGUUGCCAGCGGUUAGGCCGGGAACUCAAAGGAGACUGCCAGUGAUAAACUGGAGGAAGGUGGGGAUGACGUCAAGUCAUCAUGGCCCUUACGAGUAGGGCUACACACGUGCUACAAUGGCGCAUACAAAGAGAAGCGACCUCGCGAGAGCAAGCGGACCUCAUAAAGUGCGUCGUAGUCCGGAUUGGAGUCUGCAACUCGACUCCAUGAAGUCGGAAUCGCUAGUAAUCGUGGAUCAGAAUGCCACGGUGAAUACGUUCCCGGGCCUUGUACACACCGCCCGUCACACCAUGGGAGUGGGUUGCAAAAGAAGUAGGUAGCUUAACCUUCGGGAGGGCGCUUACCACUUUGUGAUUCAUGACUGGGGUGAAGUCGUAACAAGGUAACCGUAGGGGAACCUGCGGUUGGAUCACCUCCUUACCUUAAAGAA
rnacentral:rRNA from 2 species